AGUUGUAGUAGGUGGACAGGAGGUGUAGUAGGUGGACAGGAGGUGUAGUAGGUGGACAGGAGUUGUAGUAGGUGGACAGAAGGUGUAGUAGGUGGACAGGAGUCUUAGUAGGUGGACAGGAGUUGUAGUAGGUGGACAGGAGGUGUAGUAGGUGGACAGGAGGUGUAGUAGGUGGGCAGGAGGUGUAGUAGGUGGACAGGAGGUGUAGUAGGUGGACAGGAGGUGUAGUAGGUGGACAGGAGGUGUAGUAGGUGGACAGGAGGUGUAGUAGGUGGACAGGAGUCUUAGUAGGUGGACAGGAGUCUUAGUAGGUGGACAGGAGUCUUAGUAGGUGGACAGGAGGUGUAGUAGGUGGACAGGAGUCUUAGUAGGUGGACAGGAGUCUUAGUAGGUGGACAGGAGGUGUAGUAGGUGGACAGGAGUUGUAGUAGGUGGACAGGAGUCUUAGAAGGUGGACAGGAGUUGUAGUAGGUGGACAGGAGUCUUAGAAGGUGGACAGGAGUUGUAGUAGGUGGACAGGAGGUGUAGUAGGUGGACAGGAGGUGUAGUAGGUGGACAGGAGGUGUAGUAAGUGGACAGGAGGUGUAGUAGGUGGACAGGAGGUAUAGUAGGUGGACUGGAGGUGUAGUAGGUGGACAGGAGGUGUAUUAGGUGGACAGGAGCUGUAGUAGGUGGACAGGAGCUGUAGUAGGUGGACAGGAGGUGUAGUAGGUGGACAGGAGGUGUAGUAGGUGGACAGGAGGUGUAGUAGGUGGACAGGAGUCUUAGUAGGUGGACAGGAGGUGUAGUAGGUGGACAGGAGGUGUAGUAGGUGGACAGGAGUGGUAGUAGGUGGACAGGAGGUGUAGUAGCUGGACAGGAGGUGUAGUAGGUGGCCAGGAGGUGUAGUAGGUGGAUAGGAGGUGUAGUAGGUGGACAGGAGGUGUAGUAGGUGGACAAGAGGUAUAGUAGGUGGACAGGAGUUGUAGUAGGUGGACAGGAGGUGUAGUAGGUGGACAGGAGGUGUAGUAGGUGGACAGGAGGUGUAGUAGGUGGACAGGAGUUGUAGUAGGUGGACAGGAGGUGUAGUAGGUGGACAGGAGGUGUAGUAGGUGGACAGGAGAUGUAGUAGGUGGACAGGAGUCUUAGUAGGUGGACAGGAGGUGUAGUAGGUGGACAGGAGGUGU